rnacentral:rRNA from 1 species
UAUACGGAGGGUGCAAGCGUUACUCGGAAUCACUGGGCGUAAAGGGCGCGUAGGCGGAUUAUCAAGUCUCUUGUGAAAUCUAAUGGCUUAACCAUUAAACUGCUUGGGAAACUGAUAGUCUAGAGUGAGGGAGAGGCAGAUGGAAUUGGUGGUGUAGGGGUAAAAUCCGUAGAUAUCACCAAGAAUACCCAUUGCGAAGGCGAUCUGCUGGAACUCAACUGACGCUAAGGCGCGAAAGCGUGGGGAGCAAACAGGAUUAGAUACCCUGGUAGUCCACGCCCUAAACGAUGUACACUAGUUGUUGGGAUGCUAGUCAUCUCAGUAAUGCAGCUAACGCAUUAAGUGUACCGCCUGGGGAGUACGGUCGCAAGAUUAAAACUCAAAGGAAUAGACGGGGACCCGCACAAGCGGUGGAGCAUGUGGUUUAAUUCGAAGAUACGCGAAGAACCUUACCUGGGCUUGAUAUCCUAAGAACCUUUUAGAGAUAAGAGGGUGCUAGCUUGCUAGAACUUAGAGACAGGUGCUGCACGGCUGUCGUCAGCUCGUGUCGUGAGAUGUUGGGUUAAGUCCCGCAACGAGCGCAACCCACGUAUUUAGUUGCUAACGGUUCGGCCGAGCUACUCUAAAUAGACUGCCUUCGUAAGGAGGAGGAAGGUGUGGACGACGUCAAGUCAUCAUGGCCCUUAUGCCCAGGGCGACACACGUGCUACAAUGGCAUAUACAAUGAGACGCAAUACCGCGAGGUGGAGCAAAUCUAUAAAAUAUGUCCCAGUUCGGAUUGUUCUCUGCAACUCGAGAGCAUGAAG